rnacentral:rRNA from 1 species
UACGUAGGUGGCGAGCGUUGUCCGGAUUUACUGGGCGUAAAGGGCGUGCAGGCGGUUUGUUAAGUGCAGGGUGAAAGCUCCCGGCUCAACUGGGAGAGGUCCUUGCAUACUGGCGAACUCGAGGGAGGCAGAGGAAAGUGGAAUUCCCGGUGUAGUGGUGAUAUGCGUAGAUAUCGGGAGGAAUACCAGUGGCGAAAGCGGCACCCUAGCAUUAGCCUGACGCUCAUGUGCGAAAGCGUGGGGAGCGAACGGG